GUUGUAGGCGUUCUCAAGGCCGAAUCUGCUCUCCCUCAGAUUCUGGUCUGUAGGGAGAGGCCGUGAUGAGUGAUGGGAGCCUUGGUAGGGGGAGGACUAGGGGGCAGAGGGGAUUUCCUCUGGCAAAAGGAAGAGUCAGCCCGGCAUCUGCCCUACGCCCUUUCCCACUGCCGACCACCCCUCCGACCCUGCAUCACUGGGCUGCGGACAGAAAUGCCUUGAGCAGCUGUAGGCAAGGAGGCUGAGGAGGGACUUGGUGGACCCUGACCUUCAGCUUCCCUCGAGGGGACAGUCACAGCCACACCCCGAGUCAGAGAUGGCAGCGAUGAUGGCAGAGAACAAAAAGUAGCAUCACCAUGGCUUCCCUUCUACCAAGCUGGGAAAAGUGAGACCCAGACGCUCCAUCUCAGCUUCCCCAUGUGGUGCUGUGCUCUGUGGUGGCCAAGACUGCCAUGUUGCCAUGCUGUGAUGCAGCAAGAAAGUCCUCACCAGAUGCAGCCCCUUGAUCUUGGACUUCCCAGCCUCCAGAACUGUGAGCCAAAUAAACUUCUAUUGUUUAUCAAUUACCCAGUGGUGGUAUUCUGUUAUAAUAGCACAAAAUGGACUAAAACACUGCCAAAUUGAUGUAUCCUACAGGAAGGCCGCCCUUUGCUGCACCCAGGGCUGGGAGGGUCUGGGCACCCCAUCUGGCCUCAGCUGACCUCUCUGAUUGCUGGCCUGGAAGGAGCAGAGCCUUAGGACAUUCAGACAGUGGCCACCCCAGGAUCUGUCCCCUCUGUGUGGGCCUGCGGUGCUGGCCUCACAAGCUCACCUGUGCCGUUUUCUCUGGGAUAGGCUGAAUAAGAUGAUUAGGAUGAUCAAUGCGAGCAGCAGCACCGCCAUCACAGCCCCCACGAUCCCAUACACGAGGCUCUUGGCGAUGUUGAAUUCACAGGUCUCUCCCCAGUACCAGUGUGUGUUCGUAUUUGGGCACCUGGGGACACAGACAAGCUCACGCUGAUCCCCUGGGAUCCCUCACAUCCAAUAUCCCAAGGGUUAACCCACUCUCCUAAGCACAGGAAACCAGAUCUCCCUCACUCCAACGGCUGGAGCUCAGCCCCCAGAGAGCCUGGGUCCCUGACUUCCUCAGGCUGAUGGGCACUGAGGGAGUUGGGGGGACCUGGAGACUGCAGAUCAGGAAUUCAAAUGACUAGGGCUCAAGGGGACCUGAGAGUGUUGGGUGUCUCGUCCCAGACACGUACCAUUCACCCACCUAAUCUCUAAGCAUCUGCUACCUAAAUGGGCCUGUUAUCAUGGUUUUUCUUUUGCACCUUAAUUUAUGGUCUGUGGACUUAGUGCUGUGGCUGCAGCUAGAGGUAAUCUUGACAGCAUGGCAGAGAUGACAUAAGGGAAAUUAACAAUAUAGACAGAUAUAGAGAUUGAGAUAGAGAUACAAAGAUAGAGAUAGAGAUAGAGAUACAGACAAAGAUAGAGAUAGAGAUAGAUUUGGAAAUUGACAGCAU
rnacentral:lncRNA from 1 species